ensembl:lncRNA
AAAAAACAAAACAAAACGGAGAAAUGGGGGAUAAAAGGCCCUCGCUAAACUAAGGACUUUGGAGAAGAACUCCCAAAGAAACCUUCGAUGGAGAAUUCCCUGAGGGAAAAACCACUUUGGACGAACCCCCCCCCCCCCCCCCCCAGCGGAGGCUGCUUGCUGCGAAGAUUCCAGGCUUUCUCCCAUCCCCCACAGUGACCAGACCAGUUCUACAAACCUCGCCGGACCCACGCUGUAACACAAUGGAAAACACUGCAACAGCAGUAGAACAGCAAAGUAUGAGACCGCAGGAAGUGAGGACUUGUGCAGAUGCAACGGAGGUGGGCAUUCAAACAAA